rnacentral:tRNA from 1 species
GCAGUGGUGGUUAGGUGGUAGAAUUCUCGCCUUCCAUGCAGGAGACCCAGCUUCAAUUCUGGCCAGUGCA